rnacentral:rRNA from 2 species
UAGCGGCCGGGAACCACCUGAUCCCAUCCCGAACUCAGAAGUGAAACCAGCCUGCGCCGAUGGUA